AUACCCCCGCUACGCUCCGAAUUUAAAAAAAAGUCUUUUGGGGAAAAUUCAACUUUAGUGACGGAGUGCUGCUGCUCAUUUAAAUAACAUAAUACAUGUGUAAGUUCAUAUAGUUUUAAACGCGAAACAUUGUAAUACCCGUGUUUCCGGUAUCGAUUUGAAUAAAAAAAUUUUAUAUGUAUUUUAAAGCGUCGAAAUAAUAUAGAUAAGCAGAGAAAUUUGAAUUCUUAUUAGUUAUAUUGUUGUCUUGUAUUUUAUGAUAAAAUUCGACGAUCUGAGGACCAGGCACCGAUGCGGGGUUCGGGGAUUGAAAAUAAUUUUCUACUGAAUGGUAU